UUCAUAUUUUGCCGAUCGGGUGCGCAUAGCGCUCAAUAGAGAAGCAGGUGAAAGACCUGUGCUGUCCCGCAGCUGUAAUGCAGAGUCGACCUCAUGAUGCCACUGGGAAACUGGGAAGGCGAGGAAGAUGAGGAUGCAGAGCCAGAAGAACUGCCCGCUCGGAGCGCUGUUAU
rnacentral:ncRNA from 21 species